rnacentral:rRNA from 1 species
GAUGAACGCUAGCGGCAGGCCUAACACAUGCAAGUCGAGGGGCAGCGCGGGUAGCAAUACCUGGCGGCGACCGGCGCACGGGUGAGUAACGCGUAUGCAACCUGCCCCCGUCUGGGGAAUAGCUCGUCGAAAGGCGGAUUAAGGCCCCAUGGUUCCGUUGACCGGCAUCGGUUAACGGAUAAAGGUUACGGACGGGGAUGGGCAUGCGUGCCAUUAGCUAGUUGGGGGGGUAACGGCCCACCAAGGCGACGAUGGCUAGGGGAGCUGAGAGGCUGAACCCCCCACACUGGUACUGAGACACGGUCCAGACUCCUACGGGAGGCAGCAGUGAGGAAUAUUGGUCAAUGGGCGGAAGCCUGAACCAGCCAUGCCGCGUGCAGGAAGACGGCCCUACGGGUUGUAAACUGCUUUUCUGCGGGAAGAACGGCUUUACGAGUAGAGGUGUGACGGUACCGCAGGAAUAAGGAUCGGCUAACUCCGUG